GGUUAAGCGACUAAGCGUACACGGUGGAUGCCCUGGCAGUCAGAGGCGAUGAAGGACGUGCUAAUCUGCGAUAAGCGUCGGUAAGGUGAUAUGAACCGUUAUAACCGGCGAUUUCCGAAUGGGGAAACCCAGUGUGAUUCGUCACACUAUCAUUAACUGAAUCCAUAGGUUAAUGAGGCGAACCGGGGGAACUGAAACAUCUAAGUACCCCGAGGAAAAGAAAUCAACCGAGAUUCCCCCAGUAGCGGCGAGCGAACGGGGAGCAGCCCAGAGCCUGAAUCAGUGUGUGUGUUAGUGGAAGCGUCUGGAAAGGCGCGCGAUACAGGGUGACAGCCCCGUACACAAAAAUGCACAUACUGUGAGCUCGAUGAGUAGGGCGGGACACGUGGUAUCCUGUCUGAAUAUGGGGGGACCAUCCUCCAAGGCUAAAUACUCCUGACUGACCGAUAGUGAACCAGUACCGUGAGGGAAAGGCGAAAAGAACCCCGGCGAGGGGAGUGAAAAAGAACCUGAAACCGUGUACGUACAAGCAGUGGGAGCACGCUUAGGCGUGUGACUGCGUACCUUUUGUAUAAUGGGUCAGCGACUUAUAUUCUGUAGCAAGGUUAACCGAAUAGGGGAGCCGAAGGGAAACCGAGUCUUAACUGGGCGUUAAGUUGCAGGGUAUAGACCCGAAACCCGGUGAUCUAGCCAUGGGCAGGUUGAAGGUUGGGUAACACUAACUGGAGGACCGAACCGACUAAUGUUGAAAAAUUAGCGGAUGACUUGUGGCUGGGGGUGAAAGGCCAAUCAAACCGGGAGAUAGCUGGUUCUCCCCGAAAGCUAUUUAGGUAGCGCCUCGUGAAUUCAUCUCCGGGGGUAGAGCACUGUUUCGGCAAGGGGGUCAUCCCGACUUACCAACCCGAUGCAAACUGCGAAUACCGGAGAAUGUUAUCACGGGAGACACACGGCGGGUGCUAACGUCCGUCGUGAAGAGGGAAACAACCCAGACCGCCAGCUAAGGUCCCAAAGUCAUGGUUAAGUGGGAAACGAUGUGGGAAGGCCCAGACAGCCAGGAUGUUGGCUUAGAAGCAGCCAUCAUUUAAAGAAAGCGUAAUAGCUCACUGGUCGAGUCGGCCUGCGCGGAAGAUGUAACGGGGCUAAACCAUGCACCGAAGCUGCGGCAGCGACGCUGAUGCGUUGUUGGGUAGGGGAGCGUUCUGUAAGCCUGUGAAGGUGUGCUGUGAGGCAUGCUGGAGGUAUCAGAAGUGCGAAUGCUGACAUAAGUAACGAUAAAGCGGGUGAAAAGCCCGCUCGCCGGAAGACCAAGGGUUCCUGUCCAACGUUAAUCGGGGCAGGGUGAGUCGACCCCUAAGGCGAGGCCGAAAGGCGUAGUCGAUGGGAAACAGGUUAAUAUUCCUGUACUUGGUGUUACUGCGAAGGGGGGACGGAGAAGGCUAUGUUGGCCGGGCGACGGUUGUCCCGGUUUAAGCGUGUAGGCUGGUUUUCCAGGCAAAUCCGGAAAAUCAAGGCUGAGGCGUGAUGACGAGGCACUACGGUGCUGAAGCAACAAAUGCCCUGCUUCCAGGAAAAGCCUCUAAGCAUCAGGUAACAUCAAAUCGUACCCCAAACCGACACAGGUGGUCAGGUAGAGAAUACCAAGGCGCUUGAGAGAACUCGGGUGAAGGAACUAGGCAAAAUGGUGCCGUAACUUCGGGAGAAGGCACGCUGAUAUGUAGGUGAAGCGACUUGCUCGUGGAGCUGAAAUCAGUCGAAGAUACCAGCUGGCUGCAACUGUUUAUUAAAAACACAGCACUGUGCAAACACGAAAGUGGACGUAUACGGUGUGACGCCUGCCCGGUGCCGGAAGGUUAAUUGAUGGGGUCAGCGCAAGCGAAGCUCUUGAUCGAAGCCCCGGUAAACGGCGGCCGUAACUAUAACGGUCCUAAGGUAGCGAAAUUCCUUGUCGGGUAAGUUCCGACCUGCACGAAUGGCGUAAUGAUGGCCAGGCUGUCUCCACCCGAGACUCAGUGAAAUUGAACUCGCUGUGAAGAUGCAGUGUACCCGCGGCAAGACGGAAAGACCCCGUGAACCUUUACUAUAGCUUGACACUGAACAUUGAGCCUUGAUGUGUAGGAUAGGUGGGAGGCUUUGAAGUGUGGACGCCAGUCUGCAUGGAGCCGGCCUUGAAAUACCACCCUU
rnacentral:rRNA from 1 species